AUUGAACGCUGGCGGCAGGCUUAACACAUGCAAGUCGAGCGGAGCGAGGGUGCUUGCACCUUAGCUUAGCGGCGGACGGGUGAGUAAUGCUUAGGAAUCUGCCUAUUAGUGGGGGACAACAUUCCGAAAGGAAUGCUAAUACCGCAUACGCCCUACGGGGGAAAGCAGGGGAUCUUCGGACCUUGCGCUAAUAGAUGAGCCUAAGUCGGAUUAGCUAGUUGGUGGGGUAAAGGCCUACCAAGGCGACGAUCUGUAGCGGGUCUGAGAGGAUGAUCCGCCACACUGGGACUGAGACACGGCCCAGACUCCUACGGGAGGCAGCAGUGGGGAACAUUGGACAAUGGGCGGAAGCCUGAUCCAGCCAUGCCGCGUGUGUGAAGAAGGCCUUUUGGUUGUAAAGCACUUAAGCGAGGAGGAGGCUCUUAAGGUUAAUACCCUUGAUGAGUGGACGUUACUCGCAGAAUAAGCACCGGCUAACUCUGUGCCAGCCGCCGCGGUAA
rnacentral:rRNA from 1 species